UUUGUCUUCUAGAUGACUCCAUGUUGGCUUUCUGACUUUGAUGAAAAAGCCAUCAAAUAGAGAGACUCACGGCAAGGAACCUAGCACCAACCCUGCAUGCCAGACUGUGAGGAGCUGAGGGCUCGGCCCAACAGCUCACAAAGACCUGAAUUCUGCCUGCAGCCAUAACCCAGCUAUGGGGAAAGCAGUCCAUGCCAGACGAGGAAGCUGGGUAGAUGCCCUGGUUGACAGGCCAGCUGAGUUUCAGCUGACAGCCAGCAGCAGCUGACAGCCACAGAAGGGAGACACUUUGGAGGCUCAGCCCAGUGAAGCCUUCAGCAGACUGCAGCCCCAGACUGCCCGUUACUGAAACCACAGGAGUGUGACCUCAAAUAAGAACCCGGUCAGCCAACAAAGAAAUGUGAGAAAUGGCCUUCACAGACUGGAUGAUGCCCACUCACGUGGGGGUUAUCUCCUGCUUUACCCAGUUCACCAACUAAAAUGUUAAACUCAUCAGGAAAAUCACAGAUGCUCUCAGAAACAUCUGAGCAAAUGUCUGGACAUCAGCGAUCCAGUUGAGAUUACACAAUGACUUUACUAAUGGAAAAUUCGUUAUCCCAAUUGAUGAGGAAAAAAAAAUCAAGAAGUCCAGCAAGGUACCGUGGAAAUGCUGGUGAGGCGACUGGACGAGGAGUGCAGCUGGAGGACUGGGACUCAGCAUGGUGAAGAAACAUGCUUAUUACGCAAGGCACUCAGGUGAAGCAUUUUGCCUGUUGGCUUCAAUAUAUUCUUAUUUGAGUAUGGAAAGAAAAGAUUGUCCUAGCCCUCAAAAGAGGAACUCAGUAAAAAUCUGGCAGUGAAGUUUCUGAAAGGAUGAGCUUCCUUUAGUAAUGCAACUCUGGAAGUUUCACUUCUCUCCUUCUCUUCCCGAACCAGAAGAUACUAAAUUAUGUGGACACAGUUGAAAAAUGUCAAUAGUAGAAUGGGGGUUAAGGCUGAUGACCAGGAAAGAGCCAGUUCAAUCUCGAGCCAAAAUGAUGGUGGUAAAAAUAUUCUUCUCCAAAAGUGUCCCUUCCCAAAUUGUCUCUGCACAUUGUUACAGACUAAAAUUACUCCUCUGAGUUCCCUUAAAGAAUAAUUGUUUUCAAAGUCACUUUGCCAAGGAAAAUGAUAGAAUAGGAAAGUCAACAGCAGAGAUUAAUUCACACUGAAAAUUAUUUUUCCUCCCACACGUCUUCAUUUUCUAACAUUUUUUUGAGGUUUCAGGCCGCAGGAAGCUCAGAUGUCAUCAAGCACAGCCUCCUCAUUUUAUAGAGGGGGAAGUAGGUAAGGAGUAUGUUAUUCAGAUUUUAGUCUGAUCUUAAAUUUAUUCUCCUCUGUAAAGGUUUAGUUCUUCAGUUCCUGGUGGUUGUUUCCCUCCGUAGUUCAUGGUGACCGAUCUGGAUUUUCUAAUAGGAAAUUAUUAUUUCUCAUCAAAGGACGAGGUUAAAUUCCUGAGGAUUAUGGGGAUACUUCAGAAAGUUCACAUGGAAAGGGAAUUAAAGGAUAAGUUUAUUUUGGUGCAAAAAGUUUUGAAAUCCAUGUGAAUCUUUUUCAUAGAAGACUCUCUCCAUGAACCUUUUGAACACUCUUCAUAUUCAAUUGAGGAGUGAACUGUUCAAUUUCUUUCACUUAAUCCACUACAUUUUUCUGUAUCUUUAACCUUUUUUAUUUCAGUCCUUCCUGUGUUAGAGGGAGGAAUGAUCUUAUUCUUUG